rnacentral:rRNA from 1 species
AUGGCACUAUGGCAUCUGGUGUGGAGGCCCUACGCCGUGACCCGAUCGCUAGGACGACAGGGCAUUCGAGGGCCACCGUAUACAUUCGCCGUCGGGUCCCUGGGGGAGUGCAAGCGGAUGAUUGUUGCUGGGAGAGCAAAGCCUCUCCACGCCGGCUGCCACGACUACACCUCCCUCGUGCAACCUUUCUUCCAGAAAUGCACUUCUGACUAUGGAAAAACAUUUCUGUUUUGGCUCGGACCAAUACCGUCAAUCUGUUCUACUGACAUCGAGCUAGUCAAAGAAGUGCUCGCAGACAGGACAAACUUAUUCCAAAAGGACUACCUCAACCCUAGUUUGGAAGUAUUUUUUGGCAAAGGGCUUGUGCUUGCAAACGGAGACGACUGGAAGAGACAGCGCAAAGUUGUCCACCCAGUUUUCAAGCAAGAGAAGCUCAAGUCCGUGUCCGCUCUAGCGUCCAAGGGUGCACAGAAGAUGAUGGAGGAAUGGUCCGCCAAGAUACAAAUGAGCAACACAUAUAAAACCAAGAUACACAUGAGAAGUUACUCGGAAAAGUUGGCCCUAGGAGUCAUUGAAGGUGUGAUCUUUGGCCAGAAAACAAAGGAAUCUGGUGAGGUGUUUGUUGCUCUUAAGGAGCUCGAGAAGCUUGCGGUACAAGCACUUUUAGCACCCCCUAUACCUGGGUUCAGAUACCUGCCUACUCAUCGUAACCGUUGA